rnacentral:lncRNA from 1 species
CCCGCCGCUGCCGCCGCCGCCGCCGCCGCCGCUCGGCCACCCCCAGUCUCCGCCGGAGCUCCUGGGCUGCGCGCGCGUGUGUGCGACACAGAUAGGGAGGGGGGAUAGAACGCGAUGAGGGGCGGGGGCGGGGGGCGCGGACAAUGAGGAGGCCGCCUCCCCGGGGCCCGUCUGAACGACCGGAGAGCACAUGGCCCCAAGCGGCCACUCGCCCCCAUCUCCUCCAACCCCUUCCUAGGAGGUUGAAGGAUUUUCUUUUCCCAUUUGAUUCUGGAUAAAUGGAAUCGAUUUGGGGGGAGGGGACAGAGAAUCACACCCACCCAACACACUCCUGAACUAUGCUACAGACUUAGUACAAGAGUGGAAAUACAGUGGUAGUUGUCAGAGGAAACAGGCGUGCAGCCGCGUGGCCUCUGCCAGUUAAAGCAGUGAGGAUAUCCGGUGUCUGGAAGGUCUGUAAUUGAGGAGGAGAGGGCUCUCCAAAGACCCAGGAGGCUGACCUCAACGCAUCAGGGUGGCCUCGAGCCCCUGGGCCCUUCGUGGACAUGGUCCAGGACGAACAGGUGUUGCCCAGCUUCCCAAAGCCUUUCUAACUCAGCUAAGUCAGGCUUUCAAAAACUUGGGAGCUGCAGAAAAAUCUCCCUCUUCUGGGAGACAGCAAAAAAAUCAUGUUAAUUCCUCUUCCAGUAUUUGCAGAAAUAGGGAUCCGAGGCAAAAAGUGGAGAGGACCAGGAACCCUCUCUUCUAACGGCCUCUGAGGGCGAACUAUCCAGUCCUCUUUCCGGUACCCCUCCCCCCAUCCCCAUCACCAAGUAUCAAUCCAAGAUCUAGGAUUCCACUUACUGGAACAUUCUGCCUUGUCUGUAUCAUAAAUGUAGAUUUUACUCAAGCAGUUUCCUCGAAUAUGACUGAGAAGCUUUGGGAAAUCUUUUUGCGGAAGUCCCUAAAAAGUGCUUCCUGAGUUUUUAGUAACAAAUAGAAACUGUUGGGGCUGAUCGAUAAUAAGGAAAAUAACAGCACACCUGUUGAAUUUCAGUAAUCUUUUAUUUAAUUGCACAUUGAGGCUAACAGAAGACAACAAAAAUGUGGUGGUCUUAUACAUCCGAGUCCAGAUGCACAAGAAGGGCCAGAUGAACUAUGAAUCUGCCCGGCCCAGACUGCAAGAGUACAGAAUUAAGAAUUCAGACAGGCACCCCUUCCAGUAAUAACUCUUACCAAGGUUAAAUCAGCUCAUCAUAUACCAGAACUGGCAAGUUUAUACCAGAUAGAAUCAAACCU